rfam:Wallemia ichthyophaga EXF-994 unplaced genomic scaffold scaffold38, whole genome shotgun sequence.
CUUCAUGGCCAUAGGAUCUUGAAAGCACCGCAUCCCGUCCGAUCUGCGAAGUUAACCAAGAUGCCGCCUGGUUAGUACCAUGGUGGGGGACCACAUGGGAAUCCCUGGUGCUGUGGUUU